rnacentral:rRNA from 1 species
UAGGGAAUCUUCGGCAAUGGGGGGAACCCUGACCGAGCAACGCCGCGUGAGUGAAGAAGGUUUUCGGAUCGUAACGCUCUGUUGUUAAGGAAGAACGAGUGUGAGAAUGGAAAGUUCAUGCUGUGACGGUACUUAACCAGAAAGGGACGGCUAACUACGUGCCAGCAGCCGCGGUAAUACGUAGGUCCCGAGCGUUGUCCGGAUUUAUUGGGCGUAAAGCGAGCGCAGGCGGUUAGAAAAGUCUGAAGUGAAAGGCAGUGGCUCAACCAAUGUAAGCUUUGGAAACUGUUUAACUUGAGUGCAGAAGGGGGGAGUAGAAUUCCAUGUGUAGCGGUGAAAUGCGUAAGUAUAUGGAGGAACACUGGUGGCGAAAGCGGCUCUCUGGUCUGUAACUGGCGCUGAGGCUCGAAAGCGUGGGGAGCGAACAGG